rnacentral:rRNA from 1 species
AUUGAACGCUGGCGGCAUGCCUUACACAUGCAAGUCGAACGGUAACAGGUCUUCGGAUGCUGACGAGUGGCGAACGGGUGAGUAAUACAUCGGAACGUGCCCAGACGUGGGGGAUAACGAGGCGAAAGCUUUGCUAAUACCGCAUACGAUCUAAGGAUGAAAGCAGGGGACCGCAAGGCCUUGCGCGUUUGGAGCGGCCGAUGGCAGAUUAGGUAGUUGGUGGGAUAAAAGCUUACCAAGCCGACGAUCUGUAGCUGGUCUGAGAGGACGACCAGCCACACUGGGACUGAGACACGGCCCAGACUCCUACGGGAGGCAGCAGUGGGGAAUUUUGGACAAUGGGCGAAAGCCUGAUCCAGCAAUGCCGCGUGCAGGACGAAGGCCUUCGGGUUGUAAACUGCUUUUGUACGGAACGAAAGGAUACUGGCUAAUACCUGGUAUUGAUGACGGUACCGUAAGAAUAAGCACCGGCUAACUACGUGCCAGCAGCCGCCGCAGUAA